ensembl:misc_RNA 7SK 7SK RNA
GGAUGUGAAGGCAGUCAGGCUGUAACAUCUGGCUGAUCAAGCUGGUGAGCCUAUUUCUCCUUCCUCCCACACCCCUCCCAAAGUGCCUCAGUCCAUCAAAGGUGGCCACUCCCUAUAGAGGAGGACCAUUUCCUCAGUCAGGGUAUACGAGUAGCUGUGCUCCCCUGAUAGAACUUUUCAUCAAACUCUCAAAGGGAGGUCCUGACAAAAAAAAUUAAAAUGAGCUAUAUGACCUCUGACAAACUCUUUAACCCACAAGAAA